rnacentral:rRNA from 1 species
UACGUAGGGGGCAAGCGUUGUCCGGAAUCAUUGGGCGUAAAGAGCGUGUAGGCGGCCUGAUAAGUCGGCUGUGAAAGUCAAGGGCUCAACCCUUGAAUGCCGGCCGAUACUGUCAGGCUAGAGUCCGGAAGAGGAGAGUGGAAUUCCUGGUGUAGCGGUGAAAUGCGCAGAUAUCAGGAAGAACACCUAUGGCGAAGGCAGCUCUCUGGGACGGUACUGACGCUGAGACGCGAAAGCGUGGGGAGCGAACAGG